UUGCCUUCAAAACAAUUUUGAAAGAGUGGUUCAUAUGAUGAUGUGCUAAUGAAAUUUGAUUACAAAUAAGUGUUCUGACUAAUUGUAAAUGAAUAGGAAAACAUGAUGUUCAUAAGGAGGUUGCAAAGACAUGCAGGGAUGUAAAGAUCUAAGCAGACCUCAAGAUUUAAGCUAUAUAUUACCUAAAGUUGAUGAUGUUUAUGCCGUUUCUUCUUCCGUCCUUCCGAUGUGUUGGGCGUCCUGCCGUAUGUCGCCCCCUCGAUCAAAACUUGCUGGCACAAUCGAUAGUUCCUCACUUGUGUUGAUAUGUCGUUCUGUGGAUCUCCUUUCAAUCUUCGUACGGGUGGUGUUGGGUGUUCUGGUAUGUGUUAUUUCGGUGGGUGUUUUGGGGUGUGUGCCCCAACCUUUAUAUUAGUCCCAGGGUUGUUGUGUUUGAUUUCUGUACGGAUGAGUGUCCGCCUGCAACAGUAUAUGUACAUUAGCAAUCAUAAUUGUGGUAUGAUUAUAAUUCAAUACUUGGACGUGUUAACUUCAA
rnacentral:lncRNA from 1 species